UACGAAGGGGGCUAGCGUUGCUCGGAAUUACUGGGCGUAAAGGGCGCGUAGGCGGAUAGUUUAGUCAGAGGUAAAAGCCCAGGGCUCAACCUUGGAACUGCCUUUGAUACUGGCUAUCUUGAGUUCGGGAGAGGUGAGUGGAAUGCCGAGUGUAGAGGUGAAAUUCGUAGAUAUUCGGCGGAACACCAGUGGCGAAGGCGACUCACUGGCCCGAUACUGACGCUCAUGCACGAAAGCGUGGGGAGCAAACAGG
rnacentral:rRNA from 1 species